rnacentral:rRNA from 1 species
AUUGCACAAUGGGCGCAAGCCUGAUGCAGCGACGCCGCGUGUGGGAUGAAGGGGCUACGCCUCGUAAACCACUGUAGCGCGGGACGAAAAACGCCUUAGAGGCGUUAGACGGUACCGGGAAAGUAAGGGUCGGCUAACUACGUGCCAGCAGCCGCGGUAAUACGUAGGACCCAAGCGUUGUCCGGAUUUACUGGGUGUAACGGGUGCGCAGGCGGAUGGGUAAGUCAGGGGUGAAAGUCUGCAGCUUAACUGUAGAAUUGCCUUUGAUACUGCUCAGCUUGAGUGUGGGAGAGGUUGAUGGAAUUCCAGGUGUAGCAGGGAAAUGCGUAGAUAUCUGGAAGAACACCAGUGGCGAAGGCGGUCAACUGGCCCAUAACUGACGCUCAUGCACGAAAGCGUGGGGAGCAAACA